GAAAUGCGAUACUUGGUGUGAAUUGCAGAAUCCCGUGAACCAUCGAGUCUUUGAACGCAAGUUGCGCCCGAAGCCUUCGGGCCGAGGGCACGUCUGCAUGGGCGUCACGCACAACGUCGCCCCCACCCCACUCGUGGGGCGUGGGGCGGAUUCUGGCCCCCCGUGUGCUCCCGCGCGCGGUCGGCCUAAAAUCAGACCCCGUGGCCGCGAAAUGCCGCGACGAUUGGUGGUGUACCUGGCAGCCUCGUGCCGCCGAACAUCGCGUCGCGCCUUCCGUGGCCCUCUGGAGUCAAGAGGACCCUCGAGAGGGAGCGGCCUCUCAACCGUUGCGACCCCAUGUCAGGCGGGACUACCCGCUGAGUUUAA
rnacentral:misc_RNA from 1 species